CCUUCGGGUGCGUUNNUGGGCGUCGAGCGGCGGACGGGUGAGUAAUGCCUAGGAAAUUGCCUUGAUGUGGGGGAUAACCAUUGGAAACGAUGGCUAAUACCGCAUAAUGCCUACGGGCCAAAGAGGGGGAUCUUCGGACCUCUCGCGUCAAGAUAUGCCUAGGUGGGAUUAGCUAGUUGGUGAGGUAAUGGCUCACCAAGGCGACGAUCCCUAGCUGGUCUGAGAGGAUGAUCAGCCACACUGGAACUGAGACACGGUCCAGACUCCUACGGGAGGCAGCAGUGGGGAAUAUUGCACAAUGGGCGAAAGCCUGAUGCAGCCAUGCCGCGUGUAUGAAGAAGGCCUUCGGGUUGUAAAGUACUUUCAGUUGUGAGGAAGGGUGUGUAGUUAA
rnacentral:rRNA from 1 species